UAGAGGCGGCAGAGACAGGAACAGAGCCAAGGCUGCAGAGGCGGGAGGUGGGAGGGGAAACCCAGCUGCA
ensembl:misc_RNA